rnacentral:misc_RNA from 1 species
UCAAACUUGGUCAUUUAGAGGAAGUAAAAGUCGUAACAAGGUUUCCGUAGGUGAACCUGCGGAAGGAUCAUUAGAGAUUUAGUAAAUCCUAUCACCCGUGUGCAAUCUCUGAAGUCUGAUAUCCUUGGAGAGGUCAUCCAUCGCAUGUGAACUCUCCAAGGAGGUCAUCACGAUCAAUGUAUUUUUUCCUUUUCUUUAAUAUAUGUCUAAAUCAAUAAGUAAUAAUCGAAAUAACUUUCAACAACGGAUCUCUUGGCUCUCGCAUCGAUGAAGAACGCAGC